UAGGGAAUCUUCGGCAAUGGGGGCAACCCUGACCGAGCAACGCCGCGUGAGUGAAGAAGGUUUUCGGAUCGUAAAGCUCUGUUGUAAGUCAAGAACGAGUGUGAGAGUGGAAAGUUCACACUGUGACGGUAGCUUACCAGAAAGGGACGGCUAACUACGUGCCAGCAGCCGCGGUAAUACGUAGGUCCCGAGCGUUGUCCGGAUUUAUUGGGCGUAAAGCGAGCGCAGGCGGUUUGAUAAGUCUGAAGUUAAAGGCUGUGGCUCAACCUUAGUUCGCUUUGGAAACUGUCAAACUUGAGUGCAGAAGGGGAGAGUGGAAUUCCAUGUGUAGCGGUGAAAUGCGUAGAUAUAUGGAGGAACACCGGUGGCGAAAGCGGCUCUCUGGUCUGUAACUGACGCUGAGGCUCGAAAGCGUGGGGAGCGAACAGGAUUAGAUACCCUGGUAGUCCACGCCGUAACGAUGAGUGCUAGGUGUUGGAUCCUUUCCGGGAUUCAGUGCCGCAGCUAACGCAUUAAGCACUCCGCCUGGGGAGUACGACCGCAAGGUU
rnacentral:rRNA from 1 species